rnacentral:rRNA from 1 species
UACGUAGGGUGCAAGCGUUGUCCGGAAUUAUUGGGCGUAAAGAGCUCGUAGGCGGUCUGUCGCGUCUGCUGUGAAAACUCGGGGCUUAACUCCGGGCCUGCAGUGGGUACGGGCAGACUAGAGUGCGGUAGGGGAGACUGGAAUUCCUGGUGUAGCGGUGAAAUGCGCAGAUAUCAGGAGGAACACCGGUGGCGAAGGCGGCAUCCUGGACCGGCAUUGACGCUGAGGAGCGAAAGCUAGGGGAGCAAACGGG